rnacentral:rRNA from 1 species
AUUGAACGCUGGCGGCAUGCCUUACACAUGCAAGUCGAACGGUAACAGGUCUUCGGAUGCUGACGAGUGGCGAACGAGUGAGUAAUACAUCGGAACGUGCCUAGUAGUGGGGGAUAACUACUCGAAAGAGUGGCUAAUACCGCAUGAGAUCUACGGAUGAAAGCAGGGGAUCGCAAGACCUUGUGCUACUAGAGCGGCCGAUGGCAGAUUAGGUAGUUGGUGGGAUAAAAGCUUACCAAGCCGACGAUCUGUAGCUGGUCUGAGAGGACGAUCAGCCACACUGGGACUGAGACACGGCCCAGACUCCUACGGGAGGCAGCAGUGGGGAAUUUUGGACAAUGGGCGCAAGCCUGAUCCAGCAAUGCCGCGUGCAGGAUGAAGGCCUUCGGGUUGUAAACUGCUUUUGUACGGAACGAAAAGCCCUGGGUUAAUACCCUGGGGUCAUGACGGUACCGUAAGAAUAAGCACCGGCUAACUACGUGCCAGCAGCCGCCGUAAAAC